UGUAUCCCACAUGAUUGAAAGACACAGACAAAGCAAAUUCUGGUCUUUUCUUAUAAAAAAAAGUAGUUCCAUCUUGAGGACUCCCUUACGAGCUCUUAGAAGCCUAACAUCACAUAGAGUUAAAAAAAUAAAUGUACAUGUCUGUAAAUGUACCAGUAAGUGUUCAAUAAAGAAGCUGUUAGAAGAAAGCCCCUUAAAGGAAAAUGUCCCCUUUAAAUACUGUUUCCCCUCCUACUGUUAGCAGCUUUCUGCCUUGAAUGGAAAGGUGCCAUGUGUUGAGAAGCAGAGAUCUGGUAUUUUGGCAUUGAUGCAGGGAAAUGUAUGCUGCCUUCUGUGGCUCUAACAAGGCUGCCAGGACUAACCCUUUAUCUUUAAUGCACUUUAUAUUGCUAAUUUUGGUGUUUUCUUCUGAUUUGAAUAAAUCUUUAUAAGCAUUUUUACUUUCUUUUUCAGCCUGUUAGCAUGGUUUUACCAGAGAUACUUCUAGCAGCUUCUUUGAGGAUCCAAGUAUAUCUCUAAGCAUCUACAUGAAGUUACUCCUUGCUUUUUCAUCUAAGUGAAAUUAAAAUGAGACUUUCCCAACUAGCCACCUCCUCACCAGAUGGGACUCAGCUACACUUUAGCAAGCACUGUUCAUUCUGAGUGGCCAACAAGCAGUUAAUUGGAAAAUUGUCAAACAAAGCCAUACCUGGGCAGGCUAAUUGCCCUUGGAAAGUAGGCUAAAAACUAGCACACGGUCACCAUUCUUCUCCAUAGAGAAUCCAUGCUUACAGUGAUCCCAAACAGCUGGCUGGGGGCUCUGUCAUUCUCUCUGAACAGGCAAAGGACAGUUGCCUUAGCCUUGAUAACUCUCCAUGCCAGAGAUGUAAGUUGGGUUUCUAAAUUCAGUGGUUUAUGGCUCUCAGCUUUGAGAACUAAAGCUAUGGUUCCAAGCCUCCGAAGCUGGUAUACAAAGCAAAGACUUAAUAUCACUGGGUUUUUUUUUUCCUAUCACUGGUUUUUGAGUUCUAACACUAAUUAAAGUUAUACCUCCUGAGUUGAGUGUCAGGAUCUUUGACUAACUCUUGGCUGUUCUCUCUAACCCUUCUAUCCUCAACACUUGUCUUCAGGUCCCCACAGCCUCUCAUCUCUGCAGCCCCACCUCUUACAGAAUCUUCUGCUAGCCACUCUUGGACCCUUGUCCUGCCUUUACAGUUACAGUUGAGAGCUUCAGGCACUGGAGCCGUUAGUUGGCAGUGGCUCUCCGCCUGAUCUGGGUUUUACACCUCCAGCCUUGGAUAUCACAAGUCUUAGAGCUUCUUUAGAGCCUCAGAACUCCUAGUGUUGCAGCUCUGAGCUUUGAAUUUCAGAACUCUAAAGGCUCCUGACUUUGGAACUUUUCAGCCACAUCUCUGUUGUCACUGCUGAUACUAGAGCUUGAAGUCCUAGGUUUUCUUUUUGUUUGGUUUUGGUUUGUUUUUGAAAAUAGCAUCCCUACUUCCAGGCUGCCCUUGAACUAGUUAAAUAGUUAUGGAUGACUUUGAAUUUCUUGAUCCUCAUGCCUCUAUGUGCCAAGUUCUUGGAUUAUUGGUGUACACUACCACUGAUCUUAAAUUUUCAGACAGUCUUUGUAGAAACCAGCCUGGCUUCACACUUAUUGUGUAGCCUGAGGAGAACUUAUGGUCCUCCUGUCUCUUAAGUGUUGUGAUUACAAAUAUGAAUUGAGCUUUUUAUGCAACCAGCUAAGCUUGUUCUACCUCUGAGAAGGGCCACGAAAUAAACAUAAUAUUCUGGAAACUGCUUUACUAGAGCCUAUGGUUGCAACACAAGAGUGUGGGGGUGAGUCUGAGAGAAACCACUCAGAUUAAUGAAACAGAGGGCACACUCCUGCAUUCCUGGCACUUAGAAGGUGAAGGAACAAGGAAGAGUUCAAGUUUAUCCUUAGCUACAUAGCAAAUCUGACACCAGCCUGGGCUACAUGAAACUAUCUAAGAAACAGGAAAAUAAUGAACACACUGUAAUAUGCAAACAAAUAAACUGGAAAACAGCUUAAUGUACAUCUAGAAAAGGAGCCUGGUGUGCUUGGGCUCAGGUUGUAGUUCCAUUAAUAGCAGUUUCCAUUCCUACCAAUGAAAGGUGUUGUAUAAGCACAGACUCAGAGUUUUUUGCUGAGUUACUAGGGGAGAUACUCCUCCUCCUGACCUAAUUGAGGACUGCUAUUAUAAGAUCUUGUAAUAGCAGCCCUCCAGAGAAGCUGUAGGCAAGCUCAUCUGGUGGCCAUCAAGGCUUGUCAAAGCUCAAGUGAAGGGCUCCACACUGGAGCAAGGCCUCCCAAGGCAGAAGUAUGUGGGGUCAGCAGCAUCUUGGUUGUGGCGUUCUCUGCAGCUGGAAUAUGGUUCUCAUGAAGCCUUUCAUGAAUUGUUCAGGACAGCUGAUGUGCCAUUGUAACAGCUGCCAAAGGAAGAAAUGUCCAGCUUAUGUUUACGGGCAGUUGGGUACAAGGGAAAGAUUAGACAGUUGUCAAAAGUUCAAAAUUGGAUCACCCAGCAACUCACUUAGCAUAUUUAAAGAAAAAACAAAACCAGAGAGGGUGCUACAAUAAAGUCCCACUGUUUUGUUUUGUUCUGUUUACAUUCUUAACAUUAUUUGACAAUAUUUAACUCAGACAGAAAGCAUUAAGAAGAAUCAUAUCCCAGGGUCAUCUGGGGAGAAAGACCUUCAGUUGAAACACUGUAUCCAUCAGAUUAGCCUGCAUUAUGAGGCAUUUUCUUAAUUAAUGAUUUAUGUAGGAGAAUUCAGCUAUUUGUGGGUGAUGCUAUCCCUGGCCAGGUGGUCUUGAACUAUAUAAAAAAGGUAGCCGAGCAAGCCAUGAAGAGCAAGCCAGUAAGCAACACUCCUCCAUGUCAUCUGCAUCAGCUCCUCCCUCGAGUUCCUCCUCCGACCUCCUUCAGGGUAGACUGUAAGAUACAAUGUGAAAUAAACUCUGUUCUUCCCAAGUUGCUUUGAGUGAUAGUGCUUAUCACAGCAAUAAAAUCUUAUUCUCCCACC
rnacentral:lncRNA from 1 species